rnacentral:rRNA from 1 species
GAUGAACGCUGGCGGCGUGCCUAAUACAUGCAAGUCGAGCGAACUUUUGGUAGUUUGCUCCUACACGUUAGCGGCGGACGGGUGAGUAACACGUGGGUAAUCUGCCUGUAAUACUGGUAUAACUUCGGGACACCGUAUCUUAUACCGGAUAACAUUUAAUUCCACAUGUCCUUCAAUUAAAAGUUGGCUUUUAGCUACCACUUACAGCUGUACCCGCGUCGCAUUAGCUAGUUGGUGAGGUAACGGCUCACCAAGGCGAGGAUGCGUAGCCGACCUGAGAGGGGGAUCGGCCACACUGGGACGGAGACACGGCCCAGACGGCUACGGGAGGCAGCAGUAGGGAAUCUGCCGGAAGGGGCGAAAGACUGACGGAGAAACGCCGAGUGAGGGAAGAAGGACGUCGGGUCGGAAAGCACUGUUGUUAGGGAAGAAAAAGUAUCGUUCGAAUAGGGAGGUACCUUGACGGUACCUAACCAGAAAGCAACGGCUAACUACGUG